GACAGAGGUGCCAAGCGUUAGGCGGAAUCACUGGGCUUAAAGCGUGUGUAGGCGGAUCGUUAAGUACCUUGUGAAAUCCCACGGCUCAACCGUGGAACUGCUGGGUAUACUGGCGAUCUUGAGCCACCUAGGGGCGAGCGGAACAAGCGGUGGAGCGGUGAAAUGCGUAGAUAUCGGGAAGAACACCAGUGGCGAAAGCGCUGUACUGGGCCAUAACUGACACUGAGGGACGAAAGCUAGGGGAGCGAAAGGG
rnacentral:rRNA from 1 species